rnacentral:pre_miRNA from 1 species
GAUUUGUACCUGGUGUGAUUAUAAAGCAAUGAGACUGAUUGUCAUGUGUCGUUUGUGGGAUCCGUCUCAGUUACUUUAUAGCCAUACCUGGUAUCUUA